UACGUAGGUGGCAAGCGUUUGUCCGGAUUUACUGGGCGUAAAGAGCGCGCAGGCGGUCGUUCAAGUCGCGUGUGAAAGCCCCCCGGCUCAACUGGGGAGGGUCACGCGAUACUGAUCGACUCGAAGGCAGGAGAGGGUAGUGGAAUUCCCGGUGUAGUGGUGAAAUACGUAGAGAUUGGGAAGAACACCAGUGGCGAAGGCGGCUAUCUGGACGGUUUCUGACACUAAGACUCGAAAGCGUGGGGAGCAAACAGG
rnacentral:rRNA from 1 species